AGUGAACGCUGGCGGUAGGCCUAACACAUGCAAGUCGAACGGCAGCACGGUAAGAGCUUGCUCUUACGGGUGGCGAGUGGCGGACGGGUGAGGAAUACAUCGGAAUCUACUUUUUCGUGGGGGAUAACGUAGGGAAACUUACGCUAAUACCGCAUACGACCUACGGGUGAAAGCAGGGGAUCUUCGGACCUUGCGCGAUUGAAUGAGCCGAUGUCGGAUUAGCUAGUUGGCGGGGUAAAGGCCCACCAAGGCGACGAUCCGUAGCUGGUCUGAGAGGAUGAUCAGCCACACUGGAACUGAGACACGGUCCAGACUCCGACGGGAGGCAGCAGUGGGGAAUAUUGGACAAUGGGCGCAAGCCUGAUCCAGCCAUACCGCGUGGGUGAAGAAGGCCUUCGGGUUGUAAAGCCCUUUUGUUGGGAAAGAAAAGCAGCAGGUUAAUACCCCGCUGUUCUGACGGUACCCAAAGAAUAAGCACCGGCGAACUUCGU
rnacentral:rRNA from 1 species